AAGCCAUGAUUAUGCAAAACUGAAAUACUAAUGGGUUUACGCAGUUCACUCUGAUGGAAUUCAGCCCCUUGCCGUCUUAUUUCCACCAGUUCUUUAGAUUUGUCAAAUGCCACCUCCUUCAGCUAAAAGUGACCUCUCCAUACUGAAUUUUACCACUCCCUUAUGGCACCAAAUCUCUCCAAAUCUUGAAUUAUAGUUAUUUUCAUCUUAUCUUCUCUGCUGUAACGAGUGUGUUGAAGAAAGGGUUUGUGUCUGAUUUUUUUUUUUUUUUUUUUUUUUUUUUUUUUUACUUUAAAUGGCAAACUUACAAAUAUGAGGCAAUGAACAUGUCACAUAGUUCAAAUCACCAUCCUCUCUCACUGGGGCUUGGGCAAAAGCCUUCUAACUCUCCUCAAGGUUGCACUGUCACUCUCCCACGCUGAUCCUCUUGAAACCUAUCAGCUCAGUAAGUCCCUUCCUCCAAGCCCUCUACAGGCUUUCCAUGUCCUGACCACACCACCUGCCUGAUUUGCUUUCACACUGGUUUUCCUGCUCUUCUUCUCACAUGUUAAGCACCUCCUGCCCCAGAUGCCUUGCAUUUGAUGCUCAGUCUAGAACACUGGGUAUGGGUAGAAUAGUCUAGAAUUCUAGAUAUUGUUUGCCUCCUUACUUAAAUCAGGUUCUCAGGUUUUCUUCCACGGAGAUCCUCUUUGGCCAUUCUCCAGCACCAUGUUACUCUCUAUCCUUGUGUUGUGCUCCAGUGGAGUGUUAGUCCUGAAACCGGAGUGCCUGGUUUGAAAAGUUGACUUUACCACUUACUAGGUGUAUGGCUUGGGGCAAGCUAAAUUAACCUUUUCCUGCCUUAGUUUCCUCAUCAAGAAAGUGGGGGUAAUUCUGUAUUUGUUGCUUGGAACAUUGCCCAUCUGAUACACGAUAAGGGGCCAAUAAGUUAUUGCUUUUCUCAACUAUCAUAAACUGUUUUUCACAUAUUAGUCUGUCUCCUCGAUUAGAAAGUCAGCUCCAUUAGGGCAGGACUUUGUUUCACUUAUGACUUUAUCCCUAUAGCUGUGUCUUGGUAAGAAGGACUCCCACAAAUUCUUGUUGAGUAUGAAUGAAUUUACUGAAUGUCUAAAAAGCCAUAAACCAUUGAAUGUAUUAUUUUCUUAUGUUUCCCGUAACUAGGUGAGUAUUAACAUUGAUAGAUCUGUGUACUAUACUUUGUUGCAGGGGGAAAUCUCCUUGGUCUUUAAAUUCAAGUGGAAAAUGGCAAUAAAGUGGAACAAAAUGUACCUGAAAAAAUCUUCUCCACCAGGCUGCAUUAUUGAACUAGACCAGUUAAAGCAAACUUAGUAUAUGAUAACACCAGAGUAUGAGGAGAAAAAAAAUGCAGAGAUGAUUAUGUAAACUGUUUAUACAGUGCCUAGCAUAUAGUAGCUUCUAAAUGAAUACUCACUAGCAAAUUAUAGGUACACUUACAAAAGUGCAAUAAUAUAUGUUAUAAUUAAAGGAUUUUGCCAAUUAUAUACACCUAUGUUAGAUCUAGAUAUAGAACAUUUCCAUUACUUCAAAAAGAUGCCCCUUGCCCCUUUUUCAAUAAAUUCUGUCUCCCCAAGCCAACCAUGUGGUAGGCAGAAUGAACCAUUCCCCUUUAAGAUGUCCUUGCUGGGGCACCUGAGUGGCUCAGUUGGUUAAGUGUCUGACUCUUGGUUUCAGCUCAGGUCAGGAUCUCAUGGUUGUGAGAUCCAGCCUGGCGUUGGGCUCUGUGCUGGGCAUGGAGCCUGCUUAAGAUUCUCUCUCUCCCUUUUCCUCUGCCCCUCCUUUGCUCAUGCUCCCUUGCUCUCUCUCAAAAAAUAAAUAAAAAAUUAAAGAAACUUCCUUGCCCUAAUGCCUACAACCUGAGAAUAUGAACAUACCUUUGAAUAUGUUUCAUGGAUGGGCCUGGUGUAACCACAUGAGUCCUUAGAAGUAGAAGAGAAAGGCAGAAAAAUAGGUCAGAGAAAGAUACAACAGUAGGAGAGGAAACGAGAGAUUUGAGGUGAGGAGCAUAUGACCCAUGGUACUGGGUUUGGAGGUGGAGGAAGCCAAGGAAUGCAGGUGGCCUCUAGAAGCUGCGAUACCAACAAAGAAACAGGGACCUCAGUCCUACAACUACAAGCACUGAAUUCAGUCAACAAUCUGAAUGAGCAAGGAAAUAGAUUCUCCCAGAUGCUCUUGGAUUUCAUAUACAGGUAAUCAUAAAGUAAGAACUCUUGAAUCUGGCUUCUUUCACUUGACAUAAUGUUUUUGAUAUUUACCUACAUUUUUAGAACAGUAAUUUUUUUUUAACUGCUCAGUACUGUUCUGCUAUGAAUAUGCCUCAGUUUAUUUAUCCAUCUUGUUGACGGCUAUUUGGGUUGUUUCUGGUAUUUGGAUAUCAUGACUAGGUACAUUCUUAUACAAGUCUUUUUGUGGACACACCUUUCCAUUUCUCAGGUAAAUUGGGUAAAUACCCAGGAACAGAAUUGCUGGGUCACAGGGGAGAUAUAUGUUUAACUUUAAAAGUAAUUGGCAAACACUUCUCCAAAGCGGCUGCAUGUUUCAUGUUCCCUCCCACUUGCCUGGAGUGAGCUCACUGAACUGAGCACUUAAAAUCUGUGUAUUUCAUUGUGUACAUAAGUGUACCUCAACAAAUAUAUCAGAAAAGAAAAACAUGUAACAGAACACUGUAUUUGUAUAUGCAGAUAAUAUAAUAUUAUUCGUCUCAGAAACGGUACUGUGGAUACAAGGAACAAGUAAGUCAUAGAAUAAAUUUGAUUAAAAAAAUACAACUUUACCAUUUUAAUCUUAUACAUUAUUUACUAGAAAAUUUUCCUUCUGAAAGGUCACUCUGAAAAAUGAACACUAGUGGUUUUAUAAUCGAAUUCAGUUUAGCAUCUAUAUAUAAUCUCUGCGUAUUUAACUUGCACAUGAAUUAGGGCUAUAAGAAAUGUUUGCCCCCAAAUUCUUAAAUUUUUAAGAAUUUUAUUGUCUUAAAAUUCUUUUUUUUAACUGUUAGAAUUCUUAUUAGGUGAGAUUUAUUUAUUUAUUUGUUUGUUUACUUAUAAUAUCUAUGCCCAACACGGGGCUCAAAUUCACCACCCUGAGAUCAAGAGUCACAUGACCUACAAACUGAGCCAGCCAGGCACCCGUGGUCUUAAAAUAUUUUAAGACCUCUAACAUUGCUGAUGGAAGGGUAAGCUGUUACAAUCUCUAUGGAGUACAAUUUAGUAAUAUUUUUCACAUUUAUACAAGCUCUAAACCCUUUGACCUUGAACUCCUGCAUGUUGGAAUACAUUCUACAUAUUUACUUGCUCAUAUGCACAAUAUUCAUGCAAAGCUACUCAUAUCAGCAGUCUGUAAUAGCAAAACAUUUGAACCAAUCUAAAAAAAUGCAGGGUUGCUAAAUCACAGGGUUGCUACACAGCUGAGGAAAAAAGUGGGGAUGCUACUUAAUGUUUCAAGUAUGGAAUAAUUUCUAAGGGAAAAAUAAUACAUACAUAUAUUUGCACAUUCAUAAGGUAUUUGGAAGGAUAUACUAGAAACUGAAAAGUGGUAAUUUCUUUUUUUUUUUUUUUAAUAUUUAUUUAUUUUUGAGAGAGCAAGAGAGCAAGCCAGCCGGGGAGGGGAAGAGAAGGAGGGAGUCAGAAUCCUAAGCAGGCUCUGCAUCUCUGGGCUGUCAGCACAGAUCCCAGCGCAGGGCUUGAAUUCAUGAACUGUGAGAUCACGACCUGAGCCAAAACCAAGAGUCAGACACUUAACCAACUGUGUCACCCAGGUGCCCCAAGUGUGGUAAUUUCUAGAGAGGAGGGAGAGCUGUGUAUCUGAGUGACAGGUGUGAAGCUUUUUGCCAUUCACUCUUUAAUUUUGAACAAUGUGACCAUUAACUAGUAAAAACAAACGUCUCUGCAUUAAAAUUUUAGGGGAGAAUGAUAAUCUAAAUUUAAAGUAAAACGAAUCCUAUGUUACAGAUAUUUAAUUAUAUAUAGAGCUUCAUUAUUCUAUUAUGAUUAGAAAAAUGUAAAGUUUGUUAAUUUUUUAAAUUAUUUUUUAAAAUGUUUUAUUUUUAUUUUUAAGAAACAGAGAGUGAGCGGGGAGAUAAGGAGACAGAGAAUCUCAAGUGGGCUCUGUGCUUAAAGCAGAGAGCCUGAUGCAGGGCUUGAACUCUCAUACGACGAGAUCAUGACCCGAGCUGAAGUCGGAUGCCACCCAGGUGCCCCAAAAGUUUUAUCAAUUACUAUGUAAAAGGAACAAUAAAUCUAUACUAUAACAGAUGUAAAGUUAAUUCUAAGUGGAAAUCAUGAGCUCCCAAGUUGGUAAUAAGGGAAAAACAAUGCUUGGAAUAAAGGGAAGGGGAAAAAAAUUAGUAGGUGUGGUAAACAACCAUAACCAUUCUUCUUGGUGCAAAUGAACUGUUACAGGCUACGGUUUGGGGUAUUAUUUUGAACUUAUUAAUACAUUUAACAUGUAGUUAAUCUCUUAGGAUGCUGAUUUUAAUAGAAAAAAACAGACAAAUUGAAAGCUACCUUUAAAGGCAGAUUUAAAAUAGUAAGAAAACCUCAACUUUAUUUAGCCCUUUUCAACUUUCAAUUCAUUAAGAAAAUUUUUUCCUUACAUUAUUUGUUCAUACAUUAUUCCUUUUGCUCCUCAUAACCCUACGAUUUUGAAAUUUUAUUCUGACUUUAUGUAUAAGGAAAAAAAAGAUACUGAGAGAAGCUAAUUUACCUCAAAUCACAUGGUUUUGUAUGAGCUAGACCUAGUACCCUGGUGUUCUUAACACUGGUGCUACUUUCCAUCUGCAAUCCCUUAACCUUCAGCCCCUGCCCUCUCUCUCACCUUAUCUCUCAUCACAGUAAUUUAACUUUCCUGCUGUUUAUAUGCCUCCAAAGGGAAAUGACAAUUUUGAUAAUGGUGCAAUAUUUAUUGUACCUAUCUAUUUAAAAAUUUUUUUAACAAACCAAAAUUGCAUUAAAACAUCAAUAUGCGAUUAUUUUCCCACCACUCAAAAAUUUUAAUAUGUACUGAAGAUUCUGGACCAGAAAAUGUGUAAAGAUAAGACAAAGAAUAUCAAAAUAACUUAUAACAAAUUUCUAAAACCUCUCACAUAUUAAAAUUGGUAAGAUAAAAAUAUGAUUUACAAUACAUGUUUGCCAUUAUGGUAUAGAUAAGAAAAUAGUAACCAUACUAAAAUUAAUUCAUCCUACUUAUCAAAAUUCCUAUUAUAAGAAUGAAAAUAUUCACCUGUUUAUAAAUAGGUAUUCAAAAGUGUCUUUUGAACAACAUUCUUUGGUGUUCAUAAAACGGCAUAUAUUAUAAUAUAUUUAUCAUACAGUCUUUUCAGACUAUAAAUUCAUUUUAAACUGGAAAUGAAAAAAUAUAAAUUAGAUAUCGCUAUAGAAAAUAGUUACAGGGUAAGUAUUUUGAUGUCAUGGUGCCCAAAUACUUAUGGACAAGAUUUACCUACUAAACUUUAAAAUAACUACCUUUUCUUUGAUAUUUCUUAUAGAUCUACAUGUUCCAGAACUUAAAAAAAAAAUUACGUUAGUCUAAACGCAGAAAAUUCAAACAUGAAUUGACAAUUAUCUACGAUUCUCUCAACUGGCUAUUCCACAAACUAUGGAGCUAACUGAAUAGAUGAAAACCCUAGCACUGCGUGGAUACCAGCUUGAUAAGCAACUUGGAAUGGCAGAUGCAUUACAAGAAAUGGAACAUUCUACUACAGAGGAAGAAGACAAGUGAUCGAAUAAUAUGCACACAACUUGGUAAAAUUCUUUACCCUAAUAAAGUAAUUAUUCAUUUGCAAAUAUUACCAAAAGUAAAAAAAAUUUAUUUUACAGAGUGGUUGGUUUUCAAUACAUCAAUAAUGUUUUAAUUCCCUAUUCUCAUUUCAGCUUGUCUCAUUUCAGUGGUUGGUUUCUCCUAAAUAAUUUAGUUUACAUUUAAAGUGGCAAUACAGCUUUUACGUAAUGGAUUUAAGUUAUAAUUAGAAACCAGUUUUAUAUACAGAAAAUCCAUAAAUAUAGAACUUUUAUUCCUAUUUUAUCCUAGGGCUAUGCAAAAAAUUGACUAAAAAUUUUUCAUUUGGGUCUUUGUAAUAAACAUGUAAAUACAUUAUUUACAAUGGAGAUAUUUUAUGACAGAAAGUAAACACACAGAAGUAAUUUUGGUCUUCACCAGAAUCCAUCAUUAUAUGUUCAUUUUCGAAGAUGAUGUGACACAUGUUCAAAUUUUAAGAUUCUCAUUAUACACGUAAUUCAAGAAAUUACUUUACUUGUACAAUUAAUGCUUCAUUCUGUAUUUAAAUUUCCUUUAUGAAAGAUUCCUUGAUCCAAUAGUAGGGAACUUUAGAAUUUGUCUCAAAUACAGCAAAAUGUUUCUGUACAAUUAUGUGCAAUUUUCUUCCUUCUGGCAAUAUUAUAAAUACCGAGCAAUUUCAUCUUCAUUGUCCAUACCCCAGAGGUAAUCCUUGAGUUAUGUCACAUGAUGUAAGUACCAUCUUUGUAGUAUUUCAUGGACUCCAUUUGUUUGGUCAUAGCUAGAACAUCAUGAAAUCCAGUACUUAGGCCAGACAUAUGUUGAAAGUAUGCCUCUUUUUCCACUUGAAUGGUUAAAUUGUUUACUCCAGCAUCUUUAAGUAUUCCUGUAACCUGUUAUAAAAACCCAUACAUUUUAAAGCAUUUAGAUUAGUGCAUUUAGUACAUAUGUCUCAAAUAACUGAUAGGACAUUUUUUUCAUAGCCACAGAUAGUCAAAGAUAAACCCCGGGGCGCCUGGGUGGCUCAGUCAGUUGAGUAUCUGAUUUCGGCUCAGGUCAUGAUCUCACAGCUCGUGAGUUUGAGCCCUACAUGAGGCUCUGUGAUGACAGCUCAGAGUCUGGAGCCUGCUUCAUAUUCUGUCUCUGUCUCUCUCUCUGCCCCUCCCCUGCCCACGCUCUCUCUCAAAUAUAAAUAAACAUAAAAAAAAAAAAAGAUAAUCCUCAAAGUAAUGUUUAUUAUUUACUUGGUAAAAUGUUAAAUAUAAUCUUUUAGAAGACCUGUAAAUUACUGACCUGACAUUCCAAUUUGAAAAGAAAAACAGCUUUUGUUUCCAAUUUGGUAUGUUUAGAAAAGGGAUAUUAAAACUAUUUUGAUUCUUACCUCCAACCAUAGCAUAUACCUUGCCAACUUUAUUGUGAUUAUUAUUAAUCUAGAGCUAUAUUUAUAAUAAUUAAUUUCUAGAUAACCUAUUGGGAACCAAGGUGGAUCAGAAGUGAUAUUUUAACAUUACCUUAAGCUUGUGCUCUAAAUACUAAAACUUAAUUUUUACCAUUUUUGGGCAGAAAACAAAUCUAGAUGUAAAAAAUAAGGUAUAUUAUCUUUAGACAGCCAAAAGAUUGAUGUUUUUGAACAGUCAAAUGAUUACUGAACUGUGUAAUUUAUGAUGUGUGCAAAUUUAUGCAUGAAUUAACUCAACUGAAAUUACUUUAAAAAGAAAAGCUGAUCACCUGCUGUACUAUUCUUUGCUCCAGCACAUCAGAUGCCACCUGUAUAUGAACUGUUCCUGCCACAACACUGGCUGAAUGACGCCAAAAAUGAGGGUCUCGGUAUGAUAUUAAUCCUUCAAUUUUCUGUAUCUGUAAGAUAAAAAAAGAGGUGACAUAAAUGGACAUAAAGCCUAAUUUAUUUAACACAAAGCAAUCUUUUUGGUCCAGGAACCAGAUGAUUAAGUGUCUGACUCUCGAUUUCGGCUCACGUCAUGAUCUCAAGGUUCGUGGGAUCAAUCCCCACAUCAGGCUCUGUGCUGACAAGUGUGGAGCCUGCUUGGGAUCCUCUCUCUCCCUCUCUUAAGAAGAAAAAAAAAAGAUAAUAAGGAGAGCAAGGAAGUGAGAAAGGAAAGGGACAACUCGCUUGAAGUAAAAUAUUUCCAACAGAGUGAUACCGAGGGAAGACAGCUCUGAAUGGGAAGUGAAUAAUAGUUGCACACCCAUUUUCCCUUCUUGAAGAGGUACUUUACCGAUGCUAAACUUUGGGAUACAUUCAAUGGACUAAAUGGUUUCCUCAUGUUGAUACAUACAUUCACAUAUUAUUUAGUAUAGAAACAUGUUCAAAAGAUAUCCUUUACGCUUAGUAAUGGAGAACUGGUUAAAAACAGACAACACAUAUAAUGUAAUAGGACACUGUCAUCAAAAAUGUAUUAAAGGUAUUUAUCAAUAUGACAUAAUUAAAUGGGGAAAAAUUUACAAAGUAGCACAAAAUAGUUUUUUUGCCAUGUUCAAAAUACCUAAAAUAUAGAAAAACAAUUUUUAAAAGUGCUUCUUUCCAGGGGCACCUGGCUGGCUCAGUUGGUAGAGCAUGCAACUCUUUUCUUUUUUCUUUUUAAAUGUUUUUUUAUUUUAUUUUUAGAGAGAGUGAGAGACAGAGCGUGAACAGGGGAGGGACAGAGAGAGAAGGAGACACACAAUCAGAAGCAGGCUCCAGGCUCCAACCUGUCAGCACAGAGCCUGACGUGGGGCUCGAACUCACAAACCGUGAGAUCAUGAUCUGAGGCGAAGUCGGACACUUAACCACCUGAGCCACCCAGGUGCCCCUCUUUUUCUUUUUAAAUAUAUUUUUUUAAUUUACUUAUUUUGAGAGAGACAGAGACAGCACAAAUGGGGAGGGGCAGAGAGAGAGAGAGAGAGAACCCAAGCAGGCUCUGUGCUGUCAGCUUAGAAUCUGAUGUGGGGCUCGAACUCCUGAAACGUGAGAUCAUGACCUGAGCUGAAACCAAGAGUUGGACGUUUAACCAACUGAGCCACCCAGGCACCCCUAGAGCAUGCAACUCUUGAUCAUGAGUUUGAGCUCCACAUUGGUGGCAGAGAUCACUAAAAUAAAAUUAAAAUAAAAUAAAAUAAAAUAAAAUAAAAUAAAAUAAAAUAAAAUAAAAUAUAAAGAGGUUUCUUUCUAGGUGGUAGAAUUAUAUGUGAUUUUGUGUGUGUGUGCUUUUCUGUAUUUUGAAAUUUUCCUUUUCCCAUAAUGGACAUACAUUAUUUUUGAAAUAAAACUUUUUUUCACUUUUAGAAUAAUGUAGUAUUCACUAAUAACAAGAAGGUGAGGGAACUACUAAUUUUAUUUAUGAAAACAGUGGGUUAAGAUGCUAUUCCUUUAAUAUUCAAGAUGCCAACUUUUCAUCAGCAGAUCCUGAUUUAAUGUGAUAUGGCAAGGGUGCCUGGUUGGCUCAGUUGGUAGAGCAUGUGACUCUUAUCUUGAGUGAGUUUGAGCCCCACAAUGGGUGAGGCUUACUUUAAAAGAAAAUAUGACAUGGCAAACCACAAGCUGAAAAAAAUUUCUUUUGUAUUUGUUUUUUCUGUGAAUUGCUGAUUUAUAUUCUAGUCCAUUUUCUUACAAGACUUUCUUUUUUAAACAAAUUUGUUUUAUAAAAAUAUUUUUUUUAUUUUUAACAGAGAGAGAGAGAAUGAGAAUGAGAGGGGUAAGGGCAGAGAGAGGGAGACACAGAAUCUGAAGCAGGCUCUAGGCUCUGAGCUGUCAGCACAGAACCUGAUAUGGAGCUCAGACUCACGAACUGUGAGAUCAUGACCUGAGCUGAAGCUGGAGCUCAACCCACUGAGCCACCCAGGCGCCUCAAGACUCUCUUGAUUUUUUUUUUUUAAUUUUUAAUUUUUUAGUGUUUAUUUAUUUUUUGAGACAGACAGAAUGGGAGUAGGGGAGGGGCAGAGAGAGAGGGAGUCACAGAAUCUGAAGCAGGCUCCAGGCUCCAAGCUGAAUGUAGGACUUGAACCCAUAAGCUGUGAGAUCAUGACCUGAGCUGAAGUCAGCUGCCCAACCAACUGAGGCACCCAGGUGCCCCAAGACUCUCUUAAUUUAAAAAAUUAUGCACAGUAAGUCUCUGGUUGCUUAUAUGUGCUGCAAAUAUUUUUCUCUUGUCUGCCUUCUGUAUUUCUUAUUUGUUAAUGGAGUCUUUUGCCAAUCAACAAUUUUUAACUGCUCCAAUCUAUAGAUUUUUUUCUGUCCUUUUUUGGCUUCUGGUUUCAAUUCGAACUUAUAAAAAGGCUUUCUCUACCUCUGUAGCCCUGAAAGUAUUCUUCUAUUUUAUUUUAGUACCUUCAUUAUUUUUUAUCUUUUACAUAUCCAGUACAUUAGAAAUACAUUUUGAUAUUUGGUGGUAAAGAGAUACAGCUUUUUAUAUUCCACUAAGUAGAAAUAUUAAUUAGGUCCACCCUUUCUCCCCACUGAUCAAAAAUGCCAAGCUUUGCUACGUACUGAAUUCCAUAAAUUCCUGGGUCUGUUUCUGGACCACCAAUUUAAAAAAAAUUGAUUUAUGUGUUUACUGUUGCGCAAAAACAAAACUAUUAUUUGUGUUGGAAAUUCCGUAACUUUAUAAUCACCAAACAGCAUCCUAUUAGUUAAUUCUGUAAUUUAUGGGUUUUUUUUUGUUAUUCUCAAGCAUUAACUCUUCCAAAUAAGCUUCCAAGUAAUACUGGAUAACAAAAUAAAACAAACAAACAAAAGGAAAAAAACCCAAAAAUCCCAAGGAAAGGCAACUGCACUGAGAUUUAAAUAAAAGAAAUGCAACAUCUUUACAAUACUGUUUCCCAUCCAAGAAAAAUGUCUCCAUUUAUUCAGUACUUAUUUUUAUGUCCUUUAAAUAAGACUGUAUUUUCUUCAUUCAUAUUUUUCACAUUCCUAGUUGAGUCAACUUACUCAAUUUCAAAUGCUAUUUUAAAAGGAAAAAAUAGGGGCACCAGGGUGGCUCAGUCGGUGUUCAUUUUCAGCUCAGGUCAUGAUCUCACCAUUUGUGAGUUUGAGCCCCGCAUUGGGCUCUCUGCUGUCAGGGCAGACCCCACUUCGAAUCCUCUCUUUCCCUCUCUCUGCCCCUCCACCCGUUUGCAUGCGUGCACAUGCUCUCUCUCAAAAAUAAAACAAAACAUUAAAAAAUAACAAUAAAAGGAAAAAAUAUAGUAAAGAAAUUACACACAGUACCUUUUCUAAAGCAACAUGUAGUUCUUUUUCACAUUCUGGUGGCAAUCUCAAAAGUAGAACCUGACAGGCAUCUUUAAUCAGUGGAACAACACUGAGAAAUAUUAAUACGGCAAUAAAAAGAGAACAGAGGGGAUCAGCAAUGAACCAUCCAAACUGCUCUAUAAGAACUGUGGAUACGAUCACACCAAUACUGCCAAGCGUGUCUGCCAAAACAUGUAGAAAUACACCUGCAAGUAAAACACAUGAAAACAUUAAAAAUUAAAGCACAUCUAAUUUAGUUCUUUUAUCCAUUUUAUAAACAAUACUGGGUAUCUACUAUGCACCAGAAAUUCUGCUAGGGGAUGGUACUUAAAAAAAAAAACCAACAAAAAACAAGGUCACUGCUCUCAAACAAUUCACAGACCAGUGGUAAAGGGAAAAAUGUAGGCAACGGUAACAGAGAGUGUUAAGUUUUAUGAUGGUGUGGUUUUCCUAGAAAUCACACAUGAGCCAAGUUUUGACAUUAGGCAAAUUACUUCUAUUAAACCAUCAGAAUAUAUAAUUUAACACAGUAAGUGAUAAAAAUUCCCCCAUGUAUAUUUAUAAUACAAUAAAAAUUUCCUGGUUCUUUUGUAGUGAAAGUUCAUAAUGACACACUCAGUGUUCCCGUUCCAAAUAAUAUUUAUGCAAAUGUCACAGGAAAAGGACUCUAUAAUAAUCUGUUUAAAAAUUGACAUUUAUGAACCAAUGUGAGCAUUUUCUACAACAGAUGACUUUAUUUAUUUAUUUUUUAACCACAGAUUGUUUUACAAAAAUAAAGCUGUACCAGAAGCCUAAUACUUAAUACAAGUAAGACAGUGUCAAUUCAGAACACAACUGAAAGGUAGGACAAUAUUUGGCAAGGACUCACCCCUCAUGUUAGCAUUCAUGCCUCUGCCUGCAGAUCCGUGGCUGUGACCAUGUCCGUGGUCACUGUGUCCAUGCAUAUGGUGGGAAUGGCUGUGAUCAGAUGAAUGACAGCUUCCCUGAGAAGCUCCAUGGUUAUGGUUAUGGGCAUGGCUAAAGGCACAGAUACCAAUAAGGUUUACUAUCAGCCCUCCAACUGAGACUGGCUAGUAAAAGGAGAAAAGAAAACCUUCAAUUUGUAGUUAAAAAAAUAAAUUUGUUACUUAAAAGUUACUACAGAUCUAAAUGUUUUUCUGUUUAUGGUUUUAAAAGUAUUUAUGGUAAAACCUCACAAAGUUCAAUAAGGAAAUUCAGAAAUUUUAUUUACUUAUUAAUGUAGUUUUGUUUGGAAAUCCAAAAUUUUUAAAAAUUGGAUUUUUGAGUAUUUUAGAAGAAACAUUUUUAACUUCCAAAAACCAAAGUUUUGGCAAGUAGAAGGAUUUGGACUUGCUUUAAGCAAGUGAUUAAGAAUAAUAUGCACCUGGUUCAUGGUUUAUGAAUAAAUAAAUUAUGCUAAAGUUUUGUUUUAUUUAAAUAAAGUUUGAAAGUACUGCUUAAGUAUACACUGUAGUUGAAAUCUCAUUUAUAUUACUAGGUAAAUUUCAGUUUGUAAGGCAAUGAUUAUAAUUUACUAACUAGUAGAUUCCAAAUACAUACAGUCUUAUUGUGUCUUAAAUACAGUAAAAUUUGCCAAAGUAAAAAAAAAAAGUAUAAUGGAAAAGCAAAGAUAUAAAUGGCAUUGUCUGGAUUUAAUAAUGCCACAACAACAUCCUAAAGGAUACAUAAAGUUACUUAUCCUUGAUUAUCCUUACAAAAUGAUUUUGGGUAAUAGUUAAGGGUGUUAUUUAAUUUAUGUACGUCUACAAUUUCUCCUUCAGAGAAAUUCAUUUGAUUUAUAAAAAGAAUAUAUAAAAAUAACGGGUACAGAUAAUUCUAAUCAAUUUCCAAAGGAUGUAAGAGAAGAGAUUUACUUUAGUAAUCAUAUAUGGAAACUAUGUAUUUCUUAUUGUGGCUCAUUUGUUUGUCAGACUUUAAAAUUUUAGUUAGCUUUAUGAGCUUGAAGAUGGUUACUGAACUUUGAAUUAAAUCAAAUACUGCAUAAAGAGAUCCCCAUCAUCUCAACUACUUGUCCUCUAAUGAUAAAUACUUCAUUUGUAUAGAUUUCACCAGAAAAAAAAAAAACAACAUAGAAAGUAUAAUCCCCCUUAUACUUCUAACCCUGAGUUAGUCACUAAGAGAAUAGUGUACACUCUAUGCAUGUACUAAAAUACAUACAUCAAUCCCCUUUUAAACCAAUAAUAGCAUCAUGUUAUAAUACUGCUUUUGGAAAUUUUUUUUUAACUUAGUACAGCUUACAAAUAUUUUUCAUGCCUGUAUAUACAGAUGUGCCUCAUUCUUCUUACUGGGCACCUAGUUUUCUAUAAACAACAUCUUUAUUUAAUUAGUCUUUUUAUUGAUUUUUUUCGCCAUAAUGAACAAUGGCACAAUGAAUCAUGCACCUUUACACACCUGUGCAAGUAUUUCUGUAAUAAAUAUUAAAGGUUAAAGGAUGUGAGCAUUUAAAAUUCAAAAUAUAUUUCCAAACUGUAAUCCAAAGCAUUUUACUAACAUAUACUUCCACCAACCAGAUUCAUAACUACAAGCCAGGUGCUAGAAUUUAACACUUAAUAAUAAACCAUUCAGGUCCCCAAGAUACUUCACUUACAUCUUUAAUUGUGGAAGAAUGACAAAGGAGUUAACUCAAUGUUGCUUAAAAAAAAAAAAAAAAGCAAGAUACAAUGCGAAUAGUGAGAAAGGGAAAUCUAAGAAACUGAGGAAGGAAGACAGGAGUUAAGGGAAAAUCUCUCACUUGAGACACACAAGCAAAGUCUUGAGGAAGGUGGAAAGGCAGAUGUGAGGGAAGGGCAUGCCAGCUUCAAGAAACAGCACAUAUAAAGGUAUGGCAAUACAGGGAGAACAUUAAAAAUUUCUAACAGUAAAUAAUCUGUAAGAUAAAGCCUUUAAAAUGAUAGUAUUUUUCUGAUUCGCUAACAUUUUGCAAAUUUCCUCAGGUAUUUGAAAGCACAUCUUGGGGCACCUGGGUGACUCGCAAGUGUGGAACUUUUGAUUUUGGCUCAGGUCAUAUGUCGCGGUUUGUGAGAUCAAGCCGCACGUCGGGCUCUGCUCUGACAGCCAGAGCCUGCUUGCAAUUUUCUUUCUUCCUCUCUCUCUGCCCCUCCCCCAUCCAUGCUUGCUCCCUUUCAAAAUAAAUAAACAUUAAAAAAAAAAAAUAAAAGCACAUCUUCAUACAAAAACACUGGAUAAGUCAGAAAGAUAUCUGUUAUGUGUUAGAAUGUCAUCUAAUAUUCUGACUGCUAAAAUAUGAGAGAAAAGGAUUAAUUUCUAAGAGUCAGCAGUGUAAAUGUAAAUACAGGGUCAAGAGCUUAUGUUAAUUUAAAUUAUAAAAAUAAAGUAAAACCUUCCUACAUCAAUAAUUACAGGUAGUUAAACUUUAGCAUGGAGAAAGCUAAAGGGGUUAUGAGUAGAAAAUCAAACAGGAAAAAAAGAGACUUACUGUUAACAUGUGUGUGUCUAAUUCCGGAGGAUCAAUUAAUCUAGCCACUGACUCCAUAAACACAAAAAAAGCUAUUACCAUUAGAAAAAGUCCAUUAAUAAAUCCAGAGAGAAUUUCUAUUCGGCCAUACCUAGAAAUGUAAAAAAUAUUUUUAGAAAGGAAAAUGACAAAUAUUUUUAUUUUAUUUUUAUUUAUUUAUUUAAAUUUUUAAUGUUUAUUUAUUUUUGAGAGAGACAGAGUGCGAGCAGGGGAGGGGCUGAGAGAGAGGGAGACACAGAAUCCAAAGCAGGCUCCAGGUUCCGAGCCAUCAGCACAGGGCCUGAUGUGGGGCUCGAACUCACAAAUGGUGAGAUCAUGACCUCAGCCAAAGUAGGCCGCUCAACCCACCCAGACGCCCCUACAAAUAUUUUUAAAGCAUAAACAUUAUUAUGUUACAAAAGAGGAUAUAUAAGUCUAGAUCUUCAAUUAUGUACAUAAUUAGUAAGACUAGAAAAUUAUCAAGAUUUUAAACACCACACCAAUGCUGAAAGAGUCUUUCUGUAUAUGUUUGUUAAAAUUUUAAAUAUUUAUCAAAGUCCUUCUUCAAUGUUCUCUCUUAUACAAGGCCUUGCCUAAUUUAUUAGCAAGAAGUUACUUCUCUCUCCUUUAAGCCUUUGAUGGGCUCUGUACCUCUGUCACAACACACAGAUUCUGCUUUGUACCAAUAUUAUUUGUAUCUUUGGCCCCUCUGUCUUUCAGAAUAUAAACAGUUGAAAAUAGCUGAAUUUAUCAAUCUAUUUAGGGUCUUAUCAAAAUUCAUCAUAUAAAUCAGGGAUUUUAGUAUUUGUUGAAAUGAAUUCAGCUGAAAUGAAUUCAGUUAAUGAAAGGGCAUUUCAUGCAUAGCCACUUCAAAGUUUGAAUACUGUUUAUAACAGCAAAGAUGUGAAUGACCAUGCACAUUCCAUUGUCUCAAAGAAACUGUUAGGCAAAGAGCUCAAAAUCUAACUAAUUUUUGCUACCUCCAUGUAAGAUGGAUUUGGCAGAGAGUAUAAUCUUGAGCUCACUGCCAUUCAGUAUCAUGCUUGGUUUAUUUCCUCUUACUUAAUUCAAAUUAAAGAAAAAAAAAGCUCUGAAAAAUUAUUUGUAUUAAAAGUAAUACAAUUGUAUUUUCUGGGGUGCCUGGGUGGCUCAGUGCAUGGGGGGCCAACUCUUGAUUUCAGCUCAGGUAAUGAUCUCAUCAGGCUUUGUGCUAACAGCAUGGAGCCUGCUUGGGAUUCUCUCUCUCCCCCUCUCUCUGUCCCUCCUCCACUCACGCAUGCAUGCAUAUUCUCUCUCCCUUUCAAAAUAAAUUAAAAAAAAAUUUUUUUUUAAUUUUAUUUCCUAAGAUGGAAUUUGCCCUGAGAAUUUUUUCAUUUUGUUACAUCACCUUGAUGGUCAAGGUACCUACCCAUAGGAGAAAAUCCGAGUUGCUUUCCAUCUACUCAUCAGGGCUGCAAAAAGUCCCAUGACCAAAGCAGAGCAGUCAAAGAGCAUGUGAAAUCCAUCUGAGAUCAGACCCAGACUAUUGGUCAACACUCCAUAGAAUAAUUCCACAAAGGUAAAAAGCUAAAAUAUGUUUAAAGACAAAUAGGGGAGGAAUGUGUUGGGAAAUACUGUUUCAAUACAUUUAUCAGAAUGCAAUCAUGACAAUUUUAACCGUUUAUUACAGAAACCUUACUUGAUGAUAUAACUGCUAUUUUAUUUCAUUUCAUAUAAACUGUUAAGAUACUAAAUCAGAUAGGUUCAUCUUACACAUCAUUUAAAAGGAGACAGUUUCAUUUAUAUGACUGUAGAACUCAAUCAACUAGGCUACAAAAUGUUAGCACUGUGGUCUGUAGUGAGAUCCUGUAAGAAGUAGAUAAAAAUCUUUACAGGAUACUAUAUUUACUGAUUUGAAAUAGUACACUAAACUGAUGCAACUAAAAUGCCUCAAAAGUUGCAUAAGUAGUCUGAAUAUGAUCCUGUAAUCUUCCUAUUACUUACAGAAAAUAUAGUUUUAGCCCCUGAUGAUCAGAAAUUUUGGUAAUUACUAAAAUUCUACCAGAAAUAUCAAAAUUAAAAGAUUAAACUUUUUAAGGUAUGUCAUUAAUAUUUAAAAAUCUUACCAGAUUCAAGCACAAGAAGUAAAAGAUCUGCCUAGAGUCAUUUUCCUCAAGAAUUUGUUUUAGUGAUUCCUUAAUAAACCUAGGGAUCGAUUGGGAGCUAUGCUGAAAAGCAUCACCCAUGAAGUUAUAAAGAGGUGUUCCUUCAGGAGAAUAUCCAAUUAGAGUGCCUUUCUGUCCUCUCUUAGAAGGAGAUGAUAAGAUGUUGGCAGCUAAAAAAAGGAAAAAAAACCCAUGAACAUUAUAAAAGCUUUAAAAGCUUAAGCUACCAAACCAACACCGUACCUGUCAGCACUAAAUGCAAGCACUGAACAAAUUCCCAAAUUAAGUAAAUGACUUCCACACCAGAAUCCAUAAGAUGAAAUUUCCUAAGGGGAAAAGUGCUCACACAAAAUGAAGAAUAUAGCGCUCACUACCACUCCUCCGGACAGGACGUGUUCAGUGCUUUCCUGGUGUGCUGCUCUGUUCAUAGCUCGAAGCUGGUCUGUUAUUGGAUGUGUCCAAAAGUUUCCAAAAAGUAAAGCACUAAUAAAAAUGGGAAAGGAUCCAUAGCGGGCACAUUUGGAAACUUCCAUUUUGACUGAACAAACAGAAUCGACAUAGAAAUCCAGGAUCAUGACAAAAAAGAUAACUGUUGUGAAAGGCAUAAUGAGAGAAAACCAAGACUCGACUUUACUCUAGAAAUUAAACAGAGAAGAAAAAAAGAAAUUGUCAGUACUGCACAGGUAUAAAGUUCAUAUCUUAUGUUUUAGUUAAUCUCUUUAUAUAUAAACAAAUACUGUGAUUAAAUAUGAUUCAUAAAAUGCCAAAAUAUAAGAGAUAUAAAAUAUUACUGCAUUUUCCUAGUAGUCCCUAAAGUAUUAAAAAACAAAAGCAUUAUGGUUUAAUAAUUUUAUAAAUACUAAGUGAUCCAAAAUCCUUGUGUAUAAGUAACACAUGGUUAAGUAUUAAAUUGUGUCUUUUUUUUUAAAAUAAAUUUUUUUUUUUUGGAACCACGACGUUUUCCAAGGCACGGGCCCCUCUCUCGGGGCGAACCCAUUCCAGGGCGCCCUGCCCUUCACAAAGAAAAGAGAACUCUCCCCGGGGCUCCCGCCGGCUUCUCCGGGAUCGGUUGCGUUACCGCACGUAAAAUAAAUUUUUUAAGUGUAUUUAUUUUGAGAGAGAUACAGAGAGUGCUAGCUGGGGAAGAGCAGAGAGAGAGAGAAGAGAGAGAGAAAGAGAGAGAGAGGGAGAGGGAGAAGGGGAGGGAGAGGGAGAAGGGGAGGGAGAGGGAGAAGGGGAGGGAGAGGGAGAGAACCAAGCAGGCUCCACAGGGUCAGUGCAGAGCCUAAACAGGGCUUGAACCCACAAAACCCCAAGAUCAUGACCUGAGCGAAAAUCAAGAGUCAAACGCUCAACCGACCGAGCCACCCAGGCACCGUGUCUUUUUUUUUUUUUAAUGUUUAUUUAUUUUAUUUUGAGAGAGAGAGAGAGCAAGCACACAUGUACAUACAUGUGGGUGGGAGACGGGCAGGAAGAGAAAGGGACAGAAAAUCCCAAGCAGGCUUCCCUUUCAGCAUGGAGCCCAACAUGGGGCUUGAUCUCACGACCCUGGGAUCAGGACCUGAGCCGAUAUCCUGAGUCGGAUGCUUAACUGAGUCACUCAGGUACCUCCUAAAUUAUGUCUUUAACUGAUUCCUUUGAGCUACAGGAAUGGGAGGGAUAUAUAUAUAUGUGAUAGUACUUGAUUUAUAUUUUCUAUAAGCAAUAAAAAUUCCAAAAAUUUUUCAAAAAUUAUGAAAAAAAGCAAAGAUAACUUACAACACUUGUAAGCUCGAAGUGAAAUAAAAUACAAUGUACUGAAAUGAACUAAAAUUUAUAAGUAACAGCAAUUCAUUUUACUUAUGACCAAUACAUUCCUGCUCUUACCUCAGUUGUCACAGAAAGAACAAUGACCCAUGGACAUAAGAGAAGCACAGAAACAAGAUGGGAUAAAGCUUGAAGACGCUUGGCUCCACCAACAUCUAUAGAGAGUUUUCUGGAUGCUGUAUGAAAACCAACUUUACAACACAAAGCCAGUACUAGCAAUAAUACUCCACCCUAUAAAUAAAAUUACAUAAGUUUGAUUAGAAACACAUGGUUCACUCAAUCCUUCAAUACAUAGUAUUGGAAGAAAUGGAACUAUUAUGUUUUUUCCAUAUCCUAAAUUACCGAACUACUUAAAUGUCAGGCAGUACUGUAAAUUACUGAUAACUUACUUUAAUGCACUUUUAAAGUUACAGUUGUGGUAAUUUUUCAAAAUCUCUUAUGUUAGGAACAAAGAAAAGAACAUACCUUGUGAUCUGCCACACCUAAGAAGGCAAUGGCUGUGUAAAGCAUGUGAGUUAGAGCGCUGUCAUGAUGUCCUUCAGCUAAGUGAGUUGCAGUAAAGGAAGAAAAACCCCAAAUAUUAACUCUUUGAAUUCUGAAGUCCUCCUAAAAUUUUAGCUACAUUAUUUUGGGUUGACUAGAGACUAGUUUGGGAACCCCAAACCUGACUACCUGCAACAAUAUAUUGCCUUAAAAACAAAACAAUUAAAUAUUUAAUUUUGGGACAUAAUUUAUAAAUUGGGAUGGCUUGUAUUUUUGUUGUCUCCAAAACAAUUAUAAUAGUGCUUGAGAUACAGUUGUUAAAUUUCAGGAGUUAACCUUCAAAAGUAUAUGCAUGCAUACUAUGAGUAGGGCAAAGGGACAAGGCCAAGGAACAUUUUGGACCAUUCCUACCAAGGAAUUAAGGUUGCUCUUUCAGAACAAGAGGUCGAAUCAAUCCUAAAUCUAUUUCUAAAUCACUGACCACGUAAGCUUCAGUAAAGCAGCAAGUAGAAAGGGUUGGUGGGGCGGAGACUUAUCACAAGCAAUGUGGUUUUGCAGUCAUGCCACCCUCUUUCAGUCUAAGAAAGUAAAUUGUUGUUUAAGUAACAGGCUCUAGAACAGUAUCAGUAACCAGAAGAAUUAAAACUGGUGUUCCAAGUUCUGCUAAGUGGAGCGGGCAAAGGGGUAUGGACAGGAAGGAACAAGGCAUGUCUGUUUGUAGAGGAAAAAGGGUAUACUUAUUUGACUGGAAAGUUGGGGUUAUAGAAGAGUAGAAGCUGAACUGGAAAUAACAGUUUAGAGCAAGAGAGUGAUUACCAGGUUAAGGAAUUUCAACUUUUUCUUUUCGGCAAGAAGAUGCCAAAGAUUUUUCAUUAAAUUUCAAAAAAAAAGUUUAUAUUUAAUAAUUGCAACUGACUUCUAAAUCAAGUAUUUGAAUUGUUAAAUUUGUUACAAGGGAGACAACAGAUUGAUUUUGUUGACUGGCAAAUCCUUUUUUUUUGUUUUGUUUUAAGCACCAGGACAUUCUAAAAUAUUCUUUCACUGUCUCUGUAGAAUAUAUUGAUUAGGAUGCCAUAAAAUAUUUAAUUUAGAAUAAAUUUACUCAUUAUUUGAAUACCUACAUUAACUCAUGGAAGUUUCAUUCAUGACUGAUCAGUUUAAUUCAAUCCUUCUUGUCCCAUUCUACCAGUUUCCUAUUUUCAAGACUAUAUAAUUCCAAUCUAUUGCAAAAGGAUACGGUGUUCAGCCAUUUUAGCCAUGAGAUCAUCAUUGUCAAAAAGCAAUAGGCAGAUCACAGCAAUAAUGAAAAAAGCAGCCCCUCUUGUCUGAAAAUGAAGAAAAUAUUACUUAGGA
rnacentral:lncRNA from 1 species